rnacentral:rRNA from 1 species
GACGAACGCUGGCGGCGUGCUUAACACAUGCAAGUCGAACGGAGCGAAUGAAAGCUUGCUUUUAUGAGCUUAGUGGCAAACGGGUGAGUAACACGUAGACAACCUGCCGACAGGAUGGGGACAACAUUCCGAAAGGAAUGCUAAUACCGAAUGAAGCGGAGGGGAGGCAUCUCUCUUCCGUGAAAGAUGGCCUCUGAAUAUGCUAUCACCUGUCGAUGGGUCUGCGUCUGAUUAGCUGGUUGGUGAGGUAACGGCUCACCAAGGCGACGAUCAGUAGCCGGUCUGAGAGGAUGAACGGCCACAUUGGGACUGAGACACGGCCCAGACUCCUACGGGAGGCAGCAGUGGGGAAUCUUCCGCAAUGGGCGCAAGCCUGACGGAGCAACGCCGCGUGAGUGAAGAAGGUCUUCGGAUCGUAAAGCUCUGUUGAUGGGGACGAACGUACGGAGUGCGAAUAGUGCUCUGUAA